UGACGUCAAAUCAUCAUGCCCCUUAUGACCUGGGCUACACACGUGCUACAAUGGGCGGUACAAAGGGUCGCGAACCCGCGAGGGGGAGCCAAUCCCAAAAAGCCGCUCUCAGUUCGGAUUGCAGGCUGCAACUCGCCUGCAUGAAGCCGGAAUCGCUAGUAAUCGCGGAUCAGCAUGCCGCGGUGAAUUACCGGUUCCCGGGCCUU
rnacentral:rRNA from 1 species